UUGAAUAACCUGGUACUCGAUGCUGGCCUUUCGAGGCAUGUGCUCGUGCCAUCUUAUUUAUCUUCUCUUGUGCACCUCUUGUAGUCGUUGAAUCACUGAAGUUGGAGUUCUUAUGCGCAGCAAUGCGGUUUGGGGGCUGAAGCUUUCUUUCUGCUCCUGUUCUACUUCGGUUUUUCAAAGGCUAUGUUUCAUAUACUCUAUUAAAGUUACAGAAUGUCAUUCUUACCAGGCUUGACCGCCUUUAAGAACCUAUUA
rnacentral:misc_RNA from 1 species